rnacentral:rRNA from 1 species
UGGGUAACCUGCCCUUAACUCUGGGAUAAGCCUGGGGAAACUGGGUCUAAUACCGGAUAUGACUCCUCAUCGCAUGGUGGGGGGUGGAAAGCUUUAUUGUGGUUUUGGAUGGACUCGCGGCCUAUCAGCUUGUUGGUGAGGUAAUGGCUCACCAAGGCGACGACGGGUAGCCGGCCUGAGAGGGUGACCGGCCACACUGGGACUGAGACACGGCCCAGACUCCUACGGGAGGCAG